GGAAGGAGGACGAGGCAGCCAGAGUGUUCUCUGCAGCAGAAGAGCCCUUGCUGCACUGCUUAACCCAGACCAGCAUUUGCCAGGUUUGUUAGUUUUUGUUUUGAGAAAAGGAAAGGAAAGACCAGCGUGUCAAACUAUAACUUGACCUGAAUCCCCAAAGCUGUUCAGAAAGCUUUCCACCACUGCAGUGAACUGGAAUUGGAACCGGAACCGGAACCAAAGAAAACCUUAAAGAAUUGUAACAGCAAUUUCUAAAUGUUACACAGCAAUCCCAGUAAUGGAUGCUAGAGAUUACUCAUUACAAGGAUGAACUUCUAGAAUGAAGCUACAACCAACAGAAGGAUCCAGUGCAGAGAAAAUUAUUCCUAUUAUUAUGUAACCUGAAAUUCCUGCCGGUGCAUUCUAAAGCAGUUUUUUAAAAAAUGCAGCUGAUCUGCCUCCCUGCCCAUUCCUCUACUGGUUCCUGGCUUGGUCCAUUCUCUUCUCCCCUGCUUGCCAGCAUAGCCUGAUGAUGUCACCAAACUGGCACAAUCAGACUGUGCAGAUGCCAGUGAGAUCAGGCCUGCCUUAAAGGGGCUGCAUCUUCUCGCUUGGAUUGUGGCAGCACACCUCAGAACUGCCUGGUGGCAUAAGCAAAUGGCUGGUGGAGUCCCCAGUGUGGGGAGGGGUGGUUGUGGGGAAGGUAGCUGGUGGCCGCCAAACAUCCAUGGCUCCAGGCAUCCCCCCAAUGCUCAAUUGUAACAAUGUAUGUGGUGUUUGGGAUGAAAACUAGCUUGGAAUGGCAUGCAAGGAGAAAAGGUGAAUCCUCUGCCUCUGCUUCAGAACUUUUAAACAAACAUGCAGGAUCUCAAGGUUGAUGGUUGCUGACAAGCCUUGAUGAAAAGUGGUGUCGAAUACUUUGCUGUGUGUUAUAGGUAAUACUCUAAUGGCUUAGGAGAUGGCUAUCUGUAUAUAUGUCCUCUAUAUACAGUACCUCCCUAUAUGCGACAUCUUUCAUUUGUGGUCCUCCCCCCGCCCCACUUACAUGUCCAACCUAUCUGAAGUUCAGAAGGCUUCUCCUAGAAAAAAAGCCUUCACAGUGGGGGCACCAGUUCUUUGGCAUGGACCCCCAGGAGUCUUCUCUGUAGAAGAAACGCUAUGAAAUCUCAUUUUCUGUCAAGGCCACUGAGACUUGGGAGUCUAGAACCAUGUCUGGGAAGAAAUAGAUGCUGACUUCUAGGGAUGUGCAAACAGGUUCAAUGGCAAACUGGUUCGGUUUGACAGUUUGGCGUCAAACUGAACCCUGUUUAGUCUGACCCCAGACCAAACCUCCUUGGCUAUUCGGGGGGGGUGGUGCGAGUCUGUUUUUUUUUUAAAUGACCUCAGCCAUGCAGAAGCCCAUUGUGCAUGUGUGGCGGCCUCCAAAAUGACCGCCGUGUAGGGGGGAAAGGCCAGAAUGCCGGAACCAGGCAGUUUUUGCCACAAGGAAGGCCGAUGGUGGAUAACCUCUGCGGAACCCCCCUCCAUGGCCUUGGAGAAGCCCCCCAGAUGGGGUAAGUACUAGUAUUUUUUUUAAUUGACUCUCAACCCACCCUCCCGAACUUAACCGGGGGGGGGUUGAUGGGGGGCAAAACUGAACUGGCUUGGUCCUGUUCAGGGCCAUACGGUUUUGUGCAUACCAUUACUGACUUCCCUCUUUCCAAGGUGAGUUUCUGGGGAGGCAGCAGCUGCAGACUCUUUGUGAAUAUUCACAUAAACUGCAAAGCCCUUGAGGUUUGAUGUGCAUUCUGUCAGAAUAUGUGUAAAUUCUUGACCUUUGUUGAGGCUAGUAAUGGGAUGCCUAUGUAUAUCUACCCUUAGAAAAUUUCCCAUUUUUAAUAACGAUUGAAUCCUUAUUUAUAGUGAGAUGAAUCAUAGUUUCUUUAGCAGAGCUUAACGCAAUAUAUAAUUGUUUUUGCACUCUGUCCCUCCAUCUAGGGUUAAGCUCAUGAGCCCAGAGUGAAGAUAUGUGCCACUGGCACUCUUGCCUUCCUUAGGCUAUCUGUCAGCAAAUGAGGAAAAAUUGAGAGCAGUAGUGUACAGUUGUUUAUGCAUACAAAUCCCAUUAUUGAUAGUUAUUUAUUCAUUGAGCAGUUAGUAAACAUAGUAUUUCACUAUCUACAUAGAUGAUGCCCAUGACCACAGCUUCUUGAAUUCUAACUUCUGUUAGGAGAUAUUCAAGUAACCUCCAAAAAAGAUGUAAAAUAGUAUUUAUAUUGAUAAUUUAUUUAUAUAGUAUUUAUAUAUUUCCAAGGGGAAUAUAAUUAUUUAGAUACAGUAUGAUUUGUUGCUUGUGGAGCACUUAAAAACAAAGAUUCCCCACCUACCUACACACAGUUCCGCACUGGAUCCCAGAUGUGAGCUGGAAGCAGUUUCUGAUGAUAAUAUUUUGCUGAAGGCUCUUAGAGGUGCAGCUGCUGUGUGGUUGGCAAUGCCAUCAGGAGGGCUCAGGUUGAGUAGCAGAAGCCCUAGCAAUAUAAACUAUAAUAUAAAACCAUAGUUUUCUAGGGAAGCACCAACAGUAGCACAUGGUUGGAAAUAAUAAUAAUCAUCAUCAUCAUCUACAAAUUGAAGAUCUACAAAUUGAAGAUCUACAAAUUGAAAUUGAAAGGCUGUGGCAGAAAAAGACCAAAAUAAUCCCAGUGGUAAUUGGCGCCCUGGGUGCAGUCCCAAAAGACCUUGAAGAGCACCUCAACACCAUAGGGGCCACAGAAAUCACCAUCAGCCAAUUACAAAAAGCAGCUUUACUGGGAACAGCCUAUAUUUUGCGACGAUAUCUAUAAUAACCAACAGUAUUGAUGAUAAAAUUCAGCCAUCCCAGGUCCUUGGGAAGGACUCAAUAUCUGGAUAAAACAAACCAGUCAAUAACACCUGUCUGACUGU